CAUCCGGCAGCGCGUGGCGCCCCCGGGUGUUUUUGCG
rnacentral:sRNA from 1 species